rnacentral:rRNA from 1 species
UACGGAGGGAGCUAGCGUUGUUCGGAAUUACUGGGCGUAAAGCGCGCGUAGGCGGCUUUGUAAGUUAGAGGUGAAAGCCUGGAGCUCAACUUCAGAAUUGCCUUUAAGACUGCAUCGCUUGAAUCCGGGAGAGGUGAGUGGAAUUCCGAGUGUAGAGGUGAAAUUCGUAGAUAUUCGGAGGAACACCAGUGGCGAAGGCGGCUCGCUGGACUGAUACUGACGCUGAGGUGCGAAAGCGUGGGGAGCAAACAGG